rnacentral:lncRNA from 1 species
ACUGUCAUGUGUAACUAAUUAAAGCAAAUAAAAAAAAUGUUAAAAAAGAAUUAUCAAGAUAAAUAUUUUAAAUUAAAUAAAAUAAAAAUACAGCAUUAGGGGCUGAGGCUGUGGCUCAGUGGUAGAGCACUCGCCUAGCACAUGCGAGGCUCUGGGUUCCAUCCUCAGUACCACAUAAAAAUAAAAACAAAUAAAAAUAAAGGUAUUGUGUUCAAUUACAAUUAAAAAAAAUUAAUACAGCAUUAAAAAAUAUGUGGCAUGCAGAAAAUGCAGUGCUUAAAGGGAAACUUAUAGCAUUAAAUGUACAUAUUAAAAAGAAAAAAAGAUGGUGGAAUGAGAUGGACAUCAUUACCCCCAAGUACAUGUAUGAAGACACAAAUGGUGUGACUCUACUUUGUGUACAACCAGAGAUAUGAAAAAUUGUGCUCUAUAUGUGAAAUAUGAAUCUGUAAUGCAUUCUGCUGCCAUACAUAACAAAUUAGAAUAAACUUUUUAAAAGUUAAAAAAACAUCUAAAAUCUCUGUGCAGUUGUGCUUUGCUUACCUUAUUAAUAUCUGUUUCCAAAACAUGGAGAAACAUAGAUUCCUCCACAGGUAGCAUAAGGACAGAAGGAUGAGAGCCAGCCAACACAAGAAUAGGAAUUUUCAGAAAGUAAACUAGCCCCUAGGCUUGAUCCCCAGCACCAUAGAGAUAAAAUAAAGGAAAAUAAAAGGACAAGCUAGAGCUUAGCAAGUCUCCCUGGACAAAGAAGUAGUCCACCACCAGAAACUGGGGACUGAGAGUAUGUGCCCUUUCUAGACCCCAGGUCCAGGCCUACAUCCCAGAACUUCAACACAACACUAGAGGCUUUGGGGAGAGGUGGCCAAAACCUAUGGGAGAAGAGCCCAUAUUCCUCGACCACCCCAUUACUAAGCACAAUUGAUCUGUCUACCCUCAGGUGCCCUUUGGAUCCCUCUGCCCAUACUUUCCAACCACAUCUUUCACUAUAACAUAUAUUUACCUCAACAACAUUUUAUAUUUAUUGCACCUGCUACC